rnacentral:SRP_RNA from 1 species
GGGCAGGAAGGUAGCAGCGCCAACGAAA